GCCUUUAUAGCUCAGUGGUAGAGCACUGGUCUCGUAAACCAGGGGUCGAGAGUUCGAACCUCUCUGGAGGCA
rnacentral:tRNA from 1 species